CCUACGGGGGGCAGCAGUGAGGAAUAUUGGUCAAUGGACGAGAGUCUGAACCAGCCAAGUAGCGUGAAGGAUGACUGCCCUAUGGGUUGUAAACUUCUUUUAUAAAGGAAUAAAACGAGGCACGCGUGCCUGUUUGCAUGUACUUUAUGAAUAAGGAUCGGCUAACUCCGUGCCAGCAGCCGCGGUAAUACGGAGGAUUCGAGCGUUAUCCGGAUUUAUUGGGUUUAAAGGGAGCGUAGAUGGGUUGUUAAGUCAGUUGUGAAAGUUUGCGGCUCAACCGUAAAAUUGCAAUUGAUACUGGCAGUCUUGAGUACAGUUGAGGUAGGCGGAAUGCGUGGUGUAGCGGUGAAAUGCUUAGAGAUCACGCAGAACCCCGAUUGCGAUGGCAGCUUACUAAGCUGUGACUGACAUUGAUGCUCGAAAGUGUGGGUAUCAAACAGGAUUAGAUACCCUAGUAGUC
rnacentral:rRNA from 1 species